GACGAACGCUGGCGGCGUGCUUAACACAUGCAAGUCGAACGGAAAGGCCCUGCUUUUGUGGGGUGCUCGAGUGGCGAACGGGUGAGUAACACGUGAGUAACCUGCCCUUGACCUUGGGAUAACUUCAGGAAACUGGGGCUAAUACCGGAUAGGAGCUCCUGCUGCAUGGUGGGGGUUGGAAAGUUUCGGCGGUUGGGGAUGGACUCGCGGCUUAUCAGCUUGUUGGUGGGGUAGUGGCUUACCAAGGCUUUGACGGGUAGCCGGCCUGAGAGGGUGACCGGCCACAUUGGGACUGAGAUACGGCCCAGACUCCUACGGGAGGCAACAGUGGAGAAUAUUGCACAAUGGGCGGAAGCCUGAUGCAGCAACGCCGCGUGCGGGAUGAAGGCCUUCGGGUUGUAAACCGCUUUCGCCUGUGACGAAGCGUGAGUGACGGUAAUGGGUAAAGAAGCACCGGCUAACUACGUG
rnacentral:rRNA from 1 species